GACUGCUCCGAUGGCCUAGUGGUUAGAGCAUCUGCCUCUGAUGCAGGGGCUCAUAGGUUGGAACCCCUGCUUAGUCA